GACGAAGGGGGCUAGCGUUGUUCGGAAUUACUGGGCGUAAAGCGCGUGUAGGUGGUUGUCCAAGUUGGAUGUGAAAGCCUUGAGCUCAACUCAAGAAAUGCAUUCAGGACUGGGCGGCUAGAGGACCGGAGAGGAUAGUGGAAUUCCCAGUGUAGUGGUGGAAUACGUAGAGGUUGGGAAGAACACCAGUGGCGAAGGCGGCUAUCUGGACGGUUUCUGACACUAAGACUCGAAAGCGUGGGGAGCAAACAGG
rnacentral:rRNA from 1 species